UAAUUAAAUUACGAUUUUGCAAGCCUUUAAGAGACUAAAUAUCAGCCACACAUCUUUAUGAUGUUCAACAAUUGAAUGUGCUACACUGAUAUCAACACUUGUUCGAUUCAAAAUAGUGUUAAAUUCAUACUAUAAUCAUGGAAAAAGCUAUAGCAUUUUUUAUAAUAAAGGUACAUCCCAAGGAAUUUGUGUAAAAUAUGAUAAUAUAAACCAAAUUUAACUUGUUGAAAUAGAAGGCAUCGUGUUUAGCUUCGAAGAACUAUAAAGCAGUACGAGACAGAGAAAUUUACAGUGAAAUUAGAUCCUUCUUUAUGUUGUUAAAAGAAAAAGUAUUUUAAAGAAAUGGCGAAUGUUCCAGGUUUGAUAAA
rnacentral:lncRNA from 1 species